rnacentral:rRNA from 1 species
UACGUAGGGGGGCAAGCGUUGUCCGGAUUUAUUGGGCGUAAAGAGCGUGUAGGCGGCUAUACAGGUCCGCUGUGAAAACUCGAGGCUCAACCUCGAGACGUCGGUGGAAACCGUAUGGCUAGAGUCCGGAAGAGGAGAGUGGAAUUCCUGGUGUAGCGGUGAAAUGCGCAGAUAUCAGGAAGAACACCAAUGGCGAAGGCAGCUCUCUGGGACGGUACUGACGCUGAGACGCGAAAGCGUGGGGAGCGAACAGG